AUUGAACGCUGGCGGCAGGCUUAACACAUGCAAGUCGAGCGAGCGGCGGACGGGUGAGUAAUGUCUGGGAAACUGCCUGCUGGAGGGGGAUAACUACUGGAAAUGGUAGCUAAUACCGCAUACCAUCAGAUGUGCCCAGAUGGGAUUAGCGAGUAGGUGGGGUAAUGGCUCACCUAGGCGACGACCCCUAGCUGGUCUGAGAGGAUGACCAGCCCCACUGGAACUGAGACACGGUCCAGGCUCCUACGGGAGGCGGCAGUGGGGAUUAUUGCACAAUGGGCACAAGCCUGAUGCAGCCAUGCCGCGUGUGUGAAGAUGGCCUUCGGGUUGUAAAGCACUUUCAGCGAGGAGGCGUUACUCGCAGAGGAGGCACCGGCUAACUCCGUGCCAGCAGCCGCGGUAGUAC
rnacentral:rRNA from 1 species